UACGUAGGGGGCAAGCGUUGUCCGGAAUUAUUGGGCGUAAAGGGCUCGUAGGCGGUUUGUCGCGUCGGGAGUGAAAUCCACUGGCUUAACUGGUGGCUUGCUUUCGAUACGGGCAGACUGGAGGUAUGCAGGGGAGAACGGAAUUCCUGGUGUAGCGGUGAAAUGCGCAGAUAUCAGGAGGAACACCGGUGGCGAAGGCGGCCCACUGGCUCGACACUGACGCUGAGGUGCGAAAGCGUGGGGAGCAAACAGG
rnacentral:rRNA from 1 species